CCACACUGGAACUGAGACACGGUCCAGACUCCUACGGGAGGCAGCAGUGGGGAAUUUUGGACAAUGGGGGCAACCCUGAUCCAGCCAUGCCGCGUGAGUGAAGAAGGCCUUCGGGUUGUAAAGCUCUUUCAGACGGAAAGAAACGGUUACGGCUAAUACCCGUGACUAAUGACGGUACCGUCAGAAGAAGCACCGGCUAACUACGUGCCAGCAGCCGCGGUAAUACGUAGGGUGCGAGCGUUAAUCGGAAUUACUGGGCGUAAAGCGUGCGCAGGCGGUUUUGUAAGACAGACGUGAAAUCCCCGGGCUUAACCUGGGAACUGCGUUUGUGACUGCAAGACUAGAGUACGGCAGAGGGGGGUAGAAUUCCACGUGUAGCAGUGAAAUGCGUAGAUAUGUGGAGGAAUACCGAUAGCGAAGGCAGCCCCCUGGGUCGAUACUGACGCUCAUGCACGAAAGCGUGGGGAGCAAACAGGAUUAGAUACCCUGGUAGUCCACGCCCUAAACGAUGUCAACUAGGUGUUGGGGAAGGAGACUUCUUUAGUACCGCAGCUAACGCGAUAAGUUGACCGCCUGGGGAGUACGGUCGCAAGAUUAAAACUCAAAGGAAUUGACGG
rnacentral:rRNA from 1 species